ACAAAUUUUUCUACAUUUUUAAUAGUUAUAAUAAUAUUUCCAGGAGCUACUACAAUUAUUUUACAUAGGCAAAUUGAAGGGAACUUGAUUAAGGGAUAUUACACGUAAAAACGUACGGCGGCAAUUUGCGUUCCUACGAAACUAAUUUCCUUCACCUGCUCGCAGCGAUGUCACGGUCUUCGUGCAGAAUUAUCGGAGAUAUUUCUUUUGACUCGAUUGUUCGAGCGGUCCCUACGCGGCUGAACUCGAAUGAUCUAUAUACGCCUUUUCCAAGGAGCUUAAACGGCGAUCGAACAGGUGAAGGCACAGGAGCAGUAAAUUGUGCGCAUUCGUGUUGAGGGCUGCAACGAAGGAUAGCCUGAAGGGUUUCCGCGGGAUGACGCUCGGCGGAUCCGGACGACGUCGACGAGGACGACGACGAAGAAGAGGACGAGGUCACGAGAACGUCC